GAUGAACGCUGGCGGCGUGCCUAAUACAUGCAAGUCGAGCGAACAGAUGAGAAGCUUGCUUCUCUGAUGUUAGCGGCGGACAGGUGAGUAACACGUGGGUAACCUACCUAUAAGACUGGGAUAACUCCGGGAAACCGGGGCUAAUACCGGAUAAUAUUUUGAACCGCAUGGUUCAAUAGUGAAAGACGGUUUCGGCUGUCACUUAUAGCUGACCCGCGCCGUAUUAGCUAGUUGGUAAGGUAACGGCUUACCAAGGCGACGAUACGUAGCCGACCUGAGAGGGUGAUCGGCCACACUGGAACUGAGACACGGUCCAGACUCCUACGGGAGGCAGCAGUAGGGAAUCUUCCGCAAUGGGCGAAAGCCUGACGGAGCAACGCCGCGUGAGUGAUGAAGGUCUUCGGAUCGUAAAACUCUGUUGUUAGGGAAGAACAAAUUUGUUAGUAACUGAACAAGUCUUGACGGUACCUAACCAGAAAGCCACGGCUAACUACGUGCCAGCCGCCGCGGUAA
rnacentral:rRNA from 1 species